GGGGAAAGGCUCGCCGGCGUCGCUUUGCAGAAGGGAGGAGAGCGAGAGAGGUGCCUAGACUGUCUCUCACGGUUUCGGGAAAUGCCUAGACCGUCUCCCAGAGCGCCCUCUUGGAAGCCCCAGAGGCUUGCCAGAACUGAAUUCUCCAGGUUUGCCUGGCCACUCCCAGGUGGCAGGAGGAGAGCUUGUAUAUCCUGGUAGGUGAGAGCGCCUUACAUUUUAAUUAUAUUAUUAUUAAGAAGACUGUGCAAGCUUCAACCCGGCAAGAGCCUGCUGCAAAUUAUUGCACAGACCCUCAGAGGGGGGUUGCAGCGGUGUCUGCCUACAGAGGGAUGUGGUCCUUGUGCUGAAAUGAUCCCCUAAAACCAUUUAGUGGUGCACACCCCCCAUGGUAUCUGUAGAGAUGAAGGUUGGUCUAUAUUUUUUAAUAUUAAACAAGCACAUGAAUACAACCCUGCUGAGGUGCACGCACCAUUGUGAAACCUCAGGAGAUUAUGGUGAUGCAGCUCCAGGGUUGCCGUCAGUUGCAGACUACCUGUGACAUCAUAAUUGUACAUGGCAACUGAGUGGAUAUAAAGGUGGGCCUUUUUCUCUUCUCCAACAGAACAUAGCAGAAACAGUUGUAAGAUUCAGGGUUGCCCAGUCUUCUUCCACUUGGAGAAGGUGAAUUGGCAGGUGGAUGGAGGCAAUCAUCUGGUUGUGGGAUGCUGUGGAGCAAUGAUAAUGCAAGUUCACUUGCUGAGCAGGUGGAUGGAGGCAAUCAUCUGGUUGUGGGAUGUUGUGGAACAAUAAUAAGGCAAGUUCACUUGCUGAGCAGGAUCACGUCUUGAAGGCAUCUGAUAAUCCAUGGUCAUAAGCUGGUUGAUGUCUAAUGAUGGACCUAGCAGAUGUUAGUGGGUGGAAGCUGGUAAAGUCAGCAUUCAAAAACAGGUACGUAGAUGCCUCAAGGCUGAAGCAGGCUGAUGUUUGUGAAUGUCAGUUGGUUGGCAUUUAGGUCUGGAAGCCAAUCAACAAAAACGGGUGGAUAUUGAAGUUGGGGCAUGAUUGUGAAUGGAGAACAAAAGAUGAGCACUGGCCCCUGCACCAUUAGGGAGGGGGGUACCAUCACGGCCGCCACCGCCCCCGGACGUGCGCCCCCCCCCCACAGUGCUGGGUGCCAUGCCCCUGGGACGCACACCACACCCCCGGUGCCAGAGCCUGCAGCUUCGCCACUGAAGGUGAGUGAAGGUGUCUGUUAUUGUUAUACAUUUACAGUGGUACCUUGGGUUACAGACGCUUCAGGUUAUAGACUGUUAAAUGUUUGGAAAAAGUCAGAAGCCCAAGGCAGUAUAAGUUCCUCAACUACGUUUAUUCAACAUUUGUCAGUGACAACAGCUUACUCAUAGGAAAACAAGAACCGAACUGACUGGAUAAUA